CCUACGGGUGGCUGCAGUGGGGAAUAUUGGACAAUGGGCGAAAGCCUGAUCCAGCCAUGCCGCGUGUGUGAAGAAGGCCUUCGGGUUGUAAAGCACUUUCAGUGGGGAAGAAAGCCUUGGGGCUAAUACCCUCGAGGAAGGACAUCACCCACAGAAGAAGCACCGGCUAACUCCGUGCCAGCAGCCGCGGUAAUACGGAGGGUGCGAGCGUUAAUCGGAAUUACUGGGCGUAAAGCGCGCGUAGGCGGUCUGAUAAGCCGGUUGUGAAAGCCCCGGGCUCAACCUGGGAACGGCAUCCGGAACUGUCAGGCUAGAGUGCAGGAGAGGAAGGUAGAAUUCCCGGUGUAGCGGUGAAAUGCGUAGAGAUCGGGAGGAAUACCAGUGGCGAAGGCGGCCUUCUGGACUGACACUGACGCUGAGGUGCGAAAGCGUGGGUAGCAAACAGGAUUACAUACCCGGGUAGUC
rnacentral:rRNA from 1 species